AACAAAGGGAAAAUAUCAACCUGGAGGAGACAAAUGGUCAAAGAACAACUCGAUAUGGAAGGGAAGUCAUCAAACCUAUUCGCUACCGAGAUGGAAACAUGGUAAGCAUCUAUCAUUGCUUCAAUGCCGGUCCUAUUUAUGAAAAUGAGCCUUUUUCCUAUAAUGAAGCAAAAGGUGUUAAGGAAUGGGAAGAAGCUAUGAAUGAGGAGAUGCACGC
rnacentral:lncRNA from 1 species